UACGAAGGGUGCAAGCGUUACUCGGAAUUACUGGGCGUAAAGCGUGCGUAGGUGGUUCGUUAAGUCUGUCGUGAAAGCCCCGGGCUCAACCUGGGAACGGCGAUGGAUACUGGCGGGCUAGAGUGCGGUAGAGGGUGGUGGAAUUCCCGGUGUAGCAGUGAAAUGCGUAGAGAUCGGGAGGAACAUCAGUGGCGAAGGCGGCCACCUGGACCGGUUCUGACACUGAGGAGCGAAAGCGUGGGGAGCGAUCCGG
rnacentral:rRNA from 1 species